GUCCUGUGUUAAGUUCACCCUUAAGAUGGCGGAAUGUUCCACAUAUGACGGCUCCAUACGGUUGCCGUGAUUCAAGAAUUCAAGAGCAACUACAGCCGAACACUAACGGGAACUUCCCAAAAGCAGCUGAUGGACAAUGUAAAUUGCAGCUGAUGGUGAUGGCAAAUGCUAUGCUAUUUCUGACGUGUCGCAGAAAGAGCUUACUCGAUUAUAUUCAGACACCUCCGACACCUCUUUUCUGCUAUUUCAUAAAUCUCCGUAAAUUUCUCCGUUAAUCAUUGUUGAAAUGAACCUUUUUACAUUGAAUUGACGAAUUGCCAACUAUUCCUCUGAGAAAUAAUUUUAAAAAAUGCUUUCUGUCUAUUAUUAAUCAUAUCUCGAUGCCUUUUUUGUGUUUCUUCGUGUUUCUUCCUCUGUCUUGAUGUAAAGCUUUAUA